rnacentral:rRNA from 1 species
GAUGAACGCUAGCGAUAGGCUUAACACAUGCAAGUCGAGGGGCAGCACAAGGUAGCUUGCUAUCUGGGUGGCGACCGGCGCACGGGUGCGUAACGCGUAUGCAACUUGCCCUAUACAGGAGGAUAACCCGUCGAAAGACGGACUAAUACUGCGUAUGCUCACAACUUGGCAUCAAGUGGUGAGGAAAGAAAUUCGGUAUGGGAUAGGCAUGCGUCCCAUUAGCUUGUUGGUGAGGUAACGGCUCACCAAGGCAACGAUGGGUAGGGGAACUGAGAGGUUUAUCCCCCACACUGGUACUGAGACACGGACCAGACUCCUACGGGAGGCAGCAGUGAGGAAUAUUGGUCAAUGGGCGCGAGCCUGAACCAGCCAAGUCGCGUGAAGGAUGACUGUCUUAUGGAUUGUAAACUUCUUUUAUACGGGAAUAACAAGAGUCACGUGUGACUCCCUGCAUGUACCGUAUGAAUAAGCAUCGGCUAACUCCGUG